CUCACCCUCUUUUUCAUCUUCAUCACUGUCCAUUUUUUGCUUUUUGUGUUCUUCCUCCUCACUAUCAGAACUGUGAAACUUUUUUCUGUCCAUAUGGCUGUCUGAAUGGAAGGAGUCAUUCUGCAUUUCUGUAUCCUCUCCCUUAUUCUCCCUGUCGCUGUCAUCAUCUGACUCUGGCUUCUGUUUGUGUCUGGACGCAUCCUCAGUUUCUGAGUCACUGGCAGGCCCCUUCUGAGGCCCCUCACUCUCAGAGUCACUGACUCGGGGUUUGGGUAGCUCCUCAUUUUCCGAAUCACUGGCCUGGUUCCUUGGGGGAUCCUCACUUUCCGAAUCACUGAUUCGGGGUUUGGGAAGCUCCUCAUUUUCAGAGUCACUGGCCUGGUGCCUUGGGGGUUCCUCACUUUCUGAAUCACUGACCUGAGGUUUAGGAAGCUCCUCACUUUCAGAAUCACUCAUUCGAGGUUUGGGAGGCUCCUCAUUUUCGGAGUCACUGGCUUGGUGCCUUGGGGGUUCCUCACUCUCAGAGUCACUGAUUUGAGGUUUUAGAGCAUCUUCUGUUUCAGAGUCACUAGCAGGACUCUUCUGGAGCUCCUCAAUCUCAGAAUCACUGGCGGGAUGCUUCCCAACAUCUUCGUUUUCUGAGUCACUUGCAUGCCCAUUAAGAAGUUCCUCAUUUUCAGAGUCACUACCAGGUAAUUUCCUGGUCUCUUCACUCUCAGAGUCGCUCCCAUGCUGAUUGACAUCCUCAUUUUCAGAAUCGCUUGCAGGAGGCUCUGCACGUUCCUCAGAUUCAGAGUCGCUGUCCUUUUGCCUGUGAAGCUCCUCACUUUCAGAGUCACUAGCAUUAAGAUUUAAGGGCUCAUCGUUCUCAGAGUCUGUCACAUGAUGUCCUUUGGGGAGGCCAUCUUCUCGAUCACUAGUUUCAUUCUGAAAAAUAAAGUGAGA
rnacentral:lncRNA from 1 species